AUUGAACGCUGGCGGCAGGCCUAACACAUGCAAGUCGAACGAGUGGCGGACGGGUGAGUAAUGUAUGGGAAACUGCCUGAUGGAGGGGAUAACUUCUGGAAACGGUUGCCAAUUCCCCCUACCUUCAGAUGUGCCCAGAUGGGAUUAGCCAGUUUGUGGGGUAACGGCUUACCCAGGCCACGAUCCCUAGCUGGUCUGAGAGGAAGACCAGCCACACUGGGACUGAGACACGGACCAGACUCCGACGGGAGGCAGAAGUGGGGAAUAUUGGACAAUGGGGGCAAGCCUGAUGCAGCCAUGCCGCGUGUAUGAAGAAGGCCUUCGGGUUGUAAAGUACUUUCAGCGGGGAGGCGGUAUCCGCAGAAGAAGCACCGGCUAACUCCGUGCCAGCAGCCGCGGUAAUAC
rnacentral:rRNA from 1 species